rnacentral:rRNA from 1 species
GGUUUAGUGGAAAGCGGCGGACGGGUGAGUAACGCGUGGGAAUUUACCAAGGAGUGGGGAACAACUGCUGGAAACGGCAGCUAAUACCGCAUACGCCCUAAGGGGGAAAGGCUUCGGCCGCUCCAUGAGAAGCCCGCGUACGAUUAGUUUGUUGGUGGGGUAAUGGCCUACCAAGACUUCGAUCGUUAGCUGGUCUGAGAGGACGAUCAGCCACACUGGGACUGAGACACGGCCCAGACUCCUACGGGAGGCAGCAGUGGGGAAUAUUGGACAAUGGGCGAAAGCCUGAUCCAGCGAUGCCGCGUGAGUGAAGAAGGCCUUAGGGUUGUAAAGCUCUUUCGGUGGGGAAGAUAAUGACGGUACCCACAAAAGAAGCCCCGGCUAACUCCGUGCCAGCAGCCGCGGUAAUACGGAGGGGGCUAGCGUUACUCGGAAUUACUGGGCGUAAAGCGAGCGUAGGCGGUUAAUUAAGUUGGGGGUGAAAGCCCGGGGCUCAACCCCGGAAAUGCCCUCAAAACUAAUUGACUAGAGGACGGGAGAGGGGAGUGGAAUUCCAAGUGUAGAGGUGAAAUUCGUAGAUAUUGGGAAGAACACCAGUGGCGAAGGCGACUCUCUGGACCGUUUCUGACGCUAAGGCUCGAAAGCGUGGGUAGCAAACAGGAUUAGAUACCCUGGUAGUCCACGCCGUAAACGAUGAGUGCUAGACGUUGGGAGGAACGCCUCUCAGUGUCGUCGCUAACGCAUUAAGCACUCCGCCUGGGGAGUACGAUCGCAAGAUUAAAACUCAAAUGAAUUGACGG